rnacentral:rRNA from 1 species
CCUACGGGAGGCAGCAGUGGGGAAUAUUGGGCAAUGGGCGCAAGCCUGACCCAGCAACGCCGCGUGAAGGAAGAAGGCUUUCGGGUUGUAAACUUCUUUUGACAGGGAAGAGCAGAAGACGGUACCUGUCGAAUAAGCCACGGCUAACUACGUGCCAGCAGCCGCGGUAAUACGUAGGUGGCAAGCGUUGUCCGGAUUUACUGGGUGGAAAGGGCGUGUAGCCGGGCUGACAAGUCAGUUGUGAAAUCCGGGGGCUCAACCCCCGAACUGCUUUUGAAACUGUUGGUCUGGAGUGUCGGAGAGGCAGGCGGAAUUCCUAGUGUAGCGGUGAAAUGCGUAGAUAUUAGGAGGAACACCAGUGGCGAAGGCGGCCUGCUGGACGGCAACUGACGGUGAGGCGCGAAAGCGUGGGGAGCAAACAGGAUUAGAUACCCGAGUAGUC